CUAAAAUAUUACCAGAAGUAGUAGGAGACCAUUUGAAAGUGCCAAUGUCAUGAUGCACUAAUUAGUGAGAGAAUGGUUGCAUCUUCCACCAAUUUCCUGAUAAUAGUUUAUUUGAUUAUUCUUUUUUCAGCAGAACUAAUGUAGAUGUGUUGAAACAAUCUUGUGUUGCCUGUUAUAGAUUAUCCAUUUUGGUUAUCUCGACUACGAAGCAUCAAGUUCUGUUCCAUGAUUCCAAAAUUCAUACUUUAUGCAAAGAGGAAAUGUUCCAAUUCCUUGUGGAACUAAGACAGUUGUACAGAAAGUAGCUUUUCCAAUUUGUCGUGUAACCUUACAAUAAUUACUAGAUUAUUAGUAUUCACUUAUACUAUACAUACAGAUAAGGGUGCCAUUGCCUGAGAUUAACUGAUGGUUGUGCCACUUAACUAUUCUUCAGGUUAUUGUUCUAUCUACGGUUCAUGACUCCUGGAUGCCCAGUGAAGGACAUGAUAAGUGCAGUGAUCAGUGUUUGCUUUCAUUUUGUCUUUGGAUUUGUGGAGUUUAUUCGCCAUGUCGAACUGUUUACUAUGCAGCUUGAUGUCUUGUGUUAUGUAACAGACCAUUGUUUUGGUCCUUUCUACUACUACAUAAUGUCAUGGUCCAAACAAUGAAAACUAUAACUGAACUUAGUAAGCAUUUGACUUCAGACAUGCACUAAGAUAUAGCUUUUUAAGACUAGUACCAUGAGAAUUGGCACUGCUGUUUUGCAUGAAUAGUGUGCUUUAAUUUAGUCGUUACACAUUUAUUUAGUACUCCUUAAGAAUAACAUGAAACAGUGUACUCUUAUAUGUUCAAUAUUUUGUCAGGACAAGCCUCUGGCUGCUGAGGUAAAUUACAAAGCACUAGGAUUGAAGAGAUGCGAAAAGGGGGGGGGGGGGGCAUAAACUUGUUUGUUUGUUUUUUGCGAAAGAGCAUACACUUGUUAACCUGACCAGAAAAGAUGGCUUAAAAAAUGUGAUAUCAUUACGUGCACAGAGAGUGACGCAAUGCUGGAGGUAGCCACAAUGGUGGGAGCAAUAUCUAUGGUGAUGAGCAUAAUACGUGUGACUCAACCGAGUGAAGUUCUCAAGCUAAGAUGUUGAUGGUGUUUGCUGUUUUUGGACCAUUAAUCUUUAGAAAAAUGUUAAGAACAUUCUGUUAUAGUUACUGUUUCGUUUUUUAAGGAUCAUUGAAGUUAAA